GACGAACGCUGGCGGCGUGCCUAAUACAUGCAAGUAGAACGCUGAAGAGAGGAGCUUGCUCUUCUUGGAUGAGUUGCGAACGGGUGAGUAACGCGUAGGUAACCUGCCUUGUAGCGGGGGAUAACUAUUGGAAACGAUAGCUAAUACCGCAUAACAAUGGAUGACACAUGUCAUUUAUUUGAAAGGGGCAAUUGCUCCACUACAAGAUGGACCUGCGUUGUAUUAGCUAGUAGGUGAGGUAAUGGCUCACCAAGGCGACGAUACAUAGCCGACCUGAGAGGGUGAUCGGCCACACUGGGACUGAGACACGGCCCAGACUCCUACGGGAGGCAGCAGUAGGGAAUCUUCGGCAAUGGGGGCAACCCUGACCGAGCAACGCCGCGUGAGUGAAGAAGGUUUUCGGAUCGUAAAGCUCUGUUGUAAGUCAAGAACGGGUGUGAGAGUGGAAAGUUCACACUGUGACGGUAGCUUACCAGAAAGGGACGGCUAACUACGUG
rnacentral:rRNA from 1 species